AAUAGAUACCCCGGUAGUCCACGCCGUAAACGAUGAGUGCUAAGUGUUAGAGGGUUUCCGCCCUUUAGUGCUGCAGCAAACGCAUUAAGCACUCCGCCUGGGGAGUACGGUCGCAAGACUGAAACUCAAAGGAAUUGACGGGGGCCCGCACAAGCGGUGGAGCAUGUGGUUUAAUUCGACGCAACGCGAAGAACCUUACCCAGGCUCGAAAUGCAGGUGACAGGCGGCGAAAGUCGCUUUCCGCAAGGACACCUGUAUAGGUGCUGCAUGGCUGUCGUCAGCUCGUGUCGUGAGAUGUUGGGUUAAGUCCCGCAACGAGCGCAACCCUUGUUCGCUGUUGCCAUCAGGUCAAGCUGGGCACUCUGCGAAGACUGCCGGUGACAAACCGGAGGAAGGUGGGGAUGACGUCAAGUCAGCAUGGCCUUUAUGUCUGGGGCUACACACGUGCUACAAUGGCCGGUACAGAGCGUCGCGAUCCCGCGAGGGGGAGCUAAUCGCAUAAAGCCGGUCUCAGUUCGG
rnacentral:rRNA from 1 species